GACGAACGCUGGCGGCGCGCCCUAAUACAUGCAAGUCGAGCGAGCUUGCCUAGAUGAAUUUGGUGCUUGCACCAAAUGAAACUAGAUACAAGCGAGCGGCGGACGGGUGAGUAACACGUGGGUAACCUGCCCAAGAGACUGGGAUAACACCUGGAAACAGAUGCUAAUACCGGAUAACAACACUAGACGCAUGUCUAGAGUUUAAAAGAUGGUUCUGCUAUCACUCUUGGAUGGACCUGCGGUGCAUUAGCUAGUUGGUAAGGUAACGGCUUACCAAGGCAAUGAUGCAUAGCCGAGUUGAGAGACUGAUCGGCCACAUUGGGACUGAGACACGGCCCAAACUCCUACGGGAGGCAGCAGUAGGGAAUCUUCCACAAUGGACGCAAGUCUGAUGGAGCAACGCCGCGUGAGUGAAGAAGGGUUUCGGCUCGUAAAGCUCUGUUGGUAGUGAAGAAAGAUAGAGGUAGUAACUGGCCUUUAUUUGACGGUAAUUACUUAGAAAGUCACGGCUAACUACGUGCCAGCAGCCGCGGUAAUACGUAGGUGGCAAGCGUUGUCCGGAUUUAUUGGGCGUAAAGCGAGUGCAGGCGGUUCAAUAAGUCUGAUGUGAAAGCCUUCGGCUCAACCGGAGAAUUGCAUCAGAAACUGUUGAACUUGAGUGCAGAAGAGGAGAGUGGAACUCCAUGUGUAGCGGUGGAAUGCGUAGAUAUAUGGAAGAACACCAGUGGCGAAGGCGGCUCUCUGGUCUGCAACUGACGCUGAGGCUCGAAAGCAUGGGUAGCGAACAGG
rnacentral:rRNA from 1 species